UACGUAGGGUGCGAGCGUUGUCCGGAAUUACUGGGCGUAAAGAGCUCGUAGGCGGUUUGUCGCGUCUGCCGUGAAAGUCCGGGGCUCAACUCCGGAUCUGCGUGGGUACGGGGCAGACUAGAGUGAUGUAGGGGAGACUGGAAUUCCUGGUGUAGCGGUGAAAUGCGCAGAUAUCAGGAGGAACACCGGUGGCGAAGGCGGGUCUCUGGGCCGUAACUGGACGCUGAGGAGCGAAAGCAUGGGGAGCGAACAG
rnacentral:rRNA from 1 species